rnacentral:rRNA from 1 species
CGCCUGUUUAUCAAAAACAUGUCUUUUUGAAAAUAAUUUAAAGUCUGGUCUGCCCACUGAUUUAUAAAUAAUUAAAGGGCUGCAGUAUAUUGACUGUACAAAGGUAGCAUAAUCAUUAGUCUUUUAAUUGAUGACUUGUAUGAAUGAUCGGAUAAAAUAUAAACUGUCUCUUAAUAAAUUUAUAGAAUUUAAUUUUUUAUUUAAAAAGUUAAAAUAAUUUUAAAAGACGAGAAGACCCUAUAGAGUUUAAUAAUUUUAUAAAUUAAAAUUAUAUGUAUAAAUUUAAUUAAAAAUUAUAAAUUUAUUUUGUUGGGGUGAUAAAAAAAUUAAUUAAACUUUUUUUAAAAUUUAACAUAAAUAAUUGAAUAUUUGAUCCAAUUUUUUUGAUUAUAAGAAUAAAUUACCUUAGGGAUAACAGCGUAAUUUUUUUUUUUAGUUCUUAUAAAAAAAAAAGUUUGCGACCUCGAUGUUGGAUUAAGAUAAAAUUUAAAUGCAAAAGUUUAAAAUUUUGAUCUGUUCGAUCAUUAAAAUCUUACAUGAUCUGAGUUCAAACCGGAG